GAAUUUUUAAAUACAACACCUUGCUCUGGCAAGAAUACAGAGCAACAGGUGUUCACAUUCCUUGCUGGUGGGAAUGCAAAAUGGCACAGCCACUUGGGAAGACAGUUUGGCAGUUUCUUACAAAGCCAAACACAAGCUUACCAUACCAUCCAGCAAUUGCCCUCCUGGGCACACUCAAGGGAUUUGAAAACUUAUGUCAAUGUAAAAACCUGCAUGCAACAAUUUAUAGCAGCAUUAUUGAUAAUUGUCAAAAACAUGAAACAAUAGGCAAAUGGCUAAACUGUGGCAUGUCCUUACAAUGGAAUAUUAUUCAGCAAUAGAAAGAAAUGAAUUAUCAAGUUAUAAAAAAACAUGGUGAAUGUCUUUGACAUGGACAGAGCAAAGAGAUAUAUUUGUAUAUACUGACCUAUGUAUAUACGUAUAGCUAUAGGUAGCAUCUGUAUUUAUUUUAACCUAAAUAUGAGUUCACACUGAUGUCUACAACUCUAAUUCCUUUCCACAUGAAUCACUGUAGCUCCCUCCCUUUCCUUGCCUGUAAUCUGACACUCUGACAGUAAGAAACUGGGCUCCCACUACCCACCAUCCAUCCACUACAUUGUUGAGUUCCAGUUUUCUUGCAUCAUGGUUUCAGAAUUGUUACUCAUGGUCUUGUGAGAAAUGACUUUAUCAACUAGAGCACAGUGCUUAUGUACAGUUUCUUGUGCCUUUAGUCUUAUAGACUGCACUCAUCUCCAAAGUUACUUACAUCUGCACCUUCUCCCAGUCCCCUUCAGUGAGGUCACGUCACACAUUUGUAAGGCAGUUAAAUUCUUUUGGCACAUUCUGUAUUCCUUUCUGGGAUUCCACCACCUCUUACGUAGAUUUUUAACAUUUGCGUACAUUAAGAUUUACUCUUUGUGUGUAAAGUUUGAUGCAUUCUGACAAAUGCUUAGUAUCUCAUGUUCACCAUUAAGCUCUCAUACAGAAUAGUUUUACCAUCUGAAGAAUUACCCUUUUCUUCACCUAUUCAACCCCCUCACCUACAUCUCAAACCCCUGGCAACCCCUGAUCUAGUUAAGAUUUCUAUAGUUUUGCCUUUUUUUGAAUGUCAUAUAAUUGGAAUCAUUUAAGAGGCAACCUCUUCAGACUUGCUUCUUUUACUUAGCAAUAUGCAUUUAAGAUUCAUCCAUGUCUUUUUAUAACUUGAUAACUCAUUUCUUUGUAUUGCUGAAUAAUAUUACAUUGUAAGGAUGUGCCACAAUUUAGCCAUUCAACUAUAGGUUCAUGGGGUUUUUUUGACAGUUAUGAAUAAUCCUGCUAUAAAUAGUUGCAUACAGGUUUUUGCAUUGGCAUAACUUUUCAAAUCCCUUGAGUGUACCUAGGAGAGCAAUUGCUGAAUAGUAUGGUAAGCUUGUGUUUGGCUUCGUAAGAAACUGUCAAAUUGUCUUGCAAAGUGGCUGUACCGUUUUGCAUUCCCAGCAAUGAAUGCAAAUCCCAGAUUCACCAGCAAUGAAUGUGAACACCUGUUGCUCUGUAUUCUUGCUAGAGCAAGGUGUUGUAUUAAAAACUUCAUCACCAACCCCAAGAUUAUGUAGAUUUUAUUCUAUGUUUUCUUCAAGAAGUUUUAUAGUUUUCUAUUUUCCAAGUAGAUCUAUGAUAUAUUUUGAUUUAUUAUUAUACAAGGUCUAAGGUCUGUGUCUAAGUUCUUUUUUUUAACACGGGCAUAUUGCACAUGCAAUAUGCAUAUGGUGUGUAUUACUCUUGUGCUGUUGUUGAAAAGACUGCCCUUUAUCUACCCUGUUCAUGUUUCUUCAUGUUUUUUUCAUCUCUGUUCUGAAGUUUGAAUAAUUUUUAUGGAUCUUAAGUUUAGUUUCUAUUGACUGCUUUUUUCCUUGACUGUCAAUCACAUGUUUCUGUUUCUUUUUGUUCCACGUGAUUUUGUUCCAAGUGAUUUUUUUUAUUGAGUGGUUGGCAUUGUGUAUAACCUAUUGUAGAGAUCCUGGAUUUUGUUAUCUUCCUCUAAAAAGUGUUUCUUAUUUUAUCAGGCAGUUAAAUUACUAGCUGACCACUUUGAACUUAUAUAGGCUUGUCUUCACACUUUGGUCGUGUGGAUGGUAGAAAGACUAUGUGUUUCCUUGACCCCUUUGGUUUGGCAGGAGUUCUCUCUUAAUUCUGUUUUCCCUGCAGAUCUUUUCAAAAAGCCCCUUAGGUUUUGCUGGGGGAGGUUUAGUAUAAAUAAGUAUACUAGGCUGUUGUCCUUACUCCUAAGGCAUAGCCUUUUUUUUCUAACAUUAGAAUACCAUUUAUUAUGAUGCUGGCUUGCUAUACUAUUUAUGUUUUUUUAAAUUUUUUUAUUUCUGUAGGUUAUUGGGGAACAGGUGGUGUUUGGUGACAUGAGUCAGUUCUUUAGUGGCGAUUUGUGAGAUUUUGCAUCACCUGAGCUGUAUACACUGCACCCAAUUUAUAGUCUUUUAUCCCUCACCCCCUUCCCAUCCCUUCCCCUCUGAGUCCCCAAAGUCCAUUGUGUCAUUCUUAGGCAUAACCUUUUUAGGGUCUCAGCUGGAUGCCAGGAGUGUUAUCAAAGGUGUUAAGAUUUCUCUACUCUGGCAAGGCUGGAAUUUCAAUAUUCACCAGGAGCAUUCUCUCCCUAGCUCAGCUUAAACCUCUGGCGGUUCCAUUUUGCUUUCAAUCCCAUAGUGUCUGCUCUCUGAAAGUCUUGGUCUUCUUUCUCCGAGCAUGUACAGCUCAUCCCUCCACGAUGAACUCAACAGCAAACCCCCACAUUGACUCCUAGGGUUCCCUGUCAACACAGUUUCCACCUCUCUGAUUGCCUGAUUCUAUCCCAGCCACCCCUAAUGCCUGUCUUGUCCGCUCACCAUGGCCACUGAGCUGUGUUUGGACUCCAGGUCUCUGUGCUGUGGUCAGAAAAUUCUGCCCGGACAGGAGCUGGUCGUUGAUUGCAGGCGCCUCUGCGGGCUUUCCUUCUCUCAGGCAUCGCAGUCUUGCACUGCCUGCUGCCCACUGCUUCCAAGGAGUUGCCUCGUGCACUUAAUUUAAUUGCAUAGUUUUUUUGUUUUCUUUUGUUUUUGUUUUUGUUUUGUUUUGUUUUGCUUCUGAGACAGUCUCACUCUGUCCUCCUGGGCACCUGUAGGUACUUGGUCACCAUCUCCUUCAUGAAGAAUCAUUUUCCUUGAAAGAGCAGGUGGGGCUCCCUCCUGCACCCCUCGGCUACCUGUUGUGCGGCCCCCUUCCCUCAGCCUCCCCCUCCCUCCAUGUUCUUGUUUUUUGUCCCUCCAGAUGGAGCUAAACAACACUCUUUCCUGAAUGGACUGUGUCUAUCAGAAGGUUUACUCCUGCUCCCACCCGUGGGCCCAGGAUGGA
rnacentral:lncRNA from 1 species